rnacentral:rRNA from 1 species
UGGGGAAUAUUGCACAAUGGACGGAAGUUUGAUGCAGCGACGCCGCGUGGAGGGUGUAGGCCUUCGGGUUGUGAACUCCUUUUUCUCGCGAAAAAGGCACAGUUUUGGCUGUGUUGAUGGUAGUGGGGGAAGAAGCGCCGGCUAACUACGUGCCAGUAGCCGCGGUAAUACGUAGGGCGCGAGCGUUGUCCGGAUUUAUUGGGCGUAAAGAGCUCGUAGGUGGUUCGUCGCGUCUGUCGUGAAAGCCAGCAGCUUAACUGUUGGUCUGCGGUGGGUACGGGCGGGCUUGAGUGCGGUAGGGGUGACUGGAAUUCCUGGUGUAGCGGUGGAAUGCGCAGAUAUCAGGAGGAACACCGAUGGCGAAGGCAGGUCACUGGGCCGUUACUGACACUGAGGAGCGAAAGCGUGGGGAGCGAACAGG